AUCACUUCUUAGCCUUUUGGCUAAGAUCAAGUAUAGUAUCUGUGCUUACAAAACAGGGGUAGCUGGGUGUGGUGGUUUGUGCCAGCUACUUAGGAGGGGCUGAGAUGGGAGCAUCAUUU
rnacentral:snRNA from 1 species